AUAAUAAAAAUAAAUUAAUAAAUAAAAUAUUACUAUGUCAUUCUCCAUAAGUAUAUAAUGUUACACAGAUAACAUUAUGUGAAAUAGAGAAUUCUAAAGACAAAUAGUUCGUGUAUAUAUAUGAAACAAAUCAAAAUGGAAAAACAAAGAUAAAACAGAGAGAAAUCAUCUGCAGGCGAUGUUCCUCAGAGCCUGCGUGGCCGUGACGAUUUCCAUGGUGCAAUUCAUAUUGGUAGAUUUGUUCUUCUUCAUGAUGAAGAUGAGUUCCACUCUCCCUCUCAUCUGCGCCGUGCUCGUGAUCGGCACUACUCCCGCGCUCAAAUCGGCGGCCAGCUGAGGGUGGUUGCUGAGAUUCAAUUGGACGGCGGAGUGAACGAACUUCUUGGUGGAUCUCCAACCGGUUUUAGAAUUGGGGACGAAAACCUGGGCCACUCUGGUUCCUCUGUAGAAGAAAUCGACGGUGGUGUUGCGGUAUUUGUAGCGGCCGAAGUUGGUGUUCUUCACCGUGAAUUCGGGGUUCAUGGUGGCCUGCAGAGAGUCAGUGGCGGCGUUGAAGGAGGUGAAGGUGACUUGGCGGAUACGGAAUUUGGGCGUUUUCACUUUCAUAACGGUUAGGGCGAAGACAGUGAUGAUUGCGGUUUGGAAGACGAUGAAGAGAAGGAUGUAAAGGAUGCAUUUCGUGCGCUUCUUCUUGCGCUGCUCUCUCGUGGCGUCGUGAUGCGCAGCGGCGGCCUCCGUGUCGACGCUCCGUGCAUAGCCGUUGGCGGGAUAUGCUGAUUGUUGCUCCUUCUCGGCCAUCUGAUUGGUUUUUUAAAUACAGAAGAAUAGUAAUGAGAAAUAUAUGCUCUGCUUCAAGACUGGUUUUUUUUUUUUUGUUGAGGAGGAUGUGAAUGAGUGAGUUGAGGUGGGAGCUGGCUUAUUUAUACAGAGAGAUAGAUAUUUUGUUGAAGUAAAGAAAGGGUUAUUAAAAAUAUUGACGUCUGAGUUAAUUAGAGUUAUUACGCGUGAGGCGGCUGCUCCCAACUUGUUGAUUGGUUGUGAAAGGUGCUUACCUUUUUCCACAUGAAGAUUUUAAUUAUGGGGAGAAGCUUCCGCUGAUGAUAAUUUUUGACGGUUUUUCAAGAAUGUUGACUUUACUAAUAUAGUUACGGAUGCUCUUAAUUACAGAGCUUGAUAUUUCAUAACAUCUGCUUCCACUUAAUUUCUAUAUUCGGUUAUUGUGUCUGCACUCAAAUUAUUUAAUUUUUAUAGCAAAGCACAACUUUUUUUUAAAUUAGAAUUACAAGAGGUAUUUAAAUAUAAUUAAAUAAACAACUCACACGUAGACGAGACCUUUAUACCAUAUAAAGAUGAUAAAAUAACCGCACGUAGGCGGGACCACUAUCCACACAAAGGUGAGAAAACUACACAAAAGUGGAAACAUUAACCACACAAAGCACAAGUUAAUUAAUAAGACAAUUUUUCUUCAAUUAGUAAAUUAGGGGGUUGAAUCAUUCAAUAUGCGUCUAAUGAAUCAUUAAAAUAAGAAGAGAAUAAAUUAAAUAAGAUGUGUCGGAACAAUUGGUGAUCUACGUGAUCAAGUGCAAACACUCCCAAUGACAUCGGCUUACACAUAUGAUGUACGAUGUACGUAAUUUCAUGUUGCGUCCUCAUAGGCCAAUUUGUAAACAUACAAAUUGGUUACAAAUCAAUCAUAAUAAAAAAGAUAACAAAAUAUACGAAAAGUUUAUCGUUUUUUUUUGUAAGUAAAAUCAAAAUAAAAUAAAAGCACGAGGGGUGCAACCCAAAAAAGCAAGGUACAAAGUUCAGAGGAUACAGCUCAAUCGCCAAAAUCACAACUUAAGACACACAGACGAAUCACAUAACCAAUUUCUCAAACUAUAACAAGAGACAAUGGGCGAAAGAUUAGACAACCAAAAUCAAAAUCUCACUUUAAUCAACUCGACUAAGUCCUCACAGCAACUUGGCAAGUUCUUGAACACCACCCCAUUUCGAUGAUUCCACACAAUACAUAUCCAAAGCGCUUUCCACCACUCAGAUGAAUGUUUAUGCCUUGCAAAACCCAUGUGCUGCUUAAAGUGACAAAUUGGAUCAAUAUGUCCGACAUAACUGAGUCCAAACCAACUGUAGCAAGACGAUCAAAUCUUGUAUGCAAACGAACAAGAGAAGAAAAGUUUAUUGUAAUUACAUUUUUUUUAUCUCAUAUUCUCUAGAAUUGAAAACAUGAAAAAAUAUUAUAAUAUUAAUACUCCUAAUAAAAUUAUUAUGAAUUAGGGCGAAAAUAUAAGAAAAUAAGUUGUUGAAAACAUCACACUGCUUAAAAAAAAUUAUUCAUCCUAAAAAAUACUAUGUAAAAGAAGUAGAAGAAAAGUGAAAAUUUAUAGUAUUUUCCAUUUUUUUUAUUAAAAAGAACGCACCCGAAUAGAAAAAGGAAAUGAAAAUGACGACUGAUUAGAGAUAAUGAAAUUUGUAUAUAUGUCGCACCAACGAACUAUAAAUAAUCGCAUGAAUAUUUUUCAUUAUUUUGAAACAGUUUUCCCUGAUUAUAUAAUACAUAUACUAACUAAAUAUGAAAUAAUUUUAAGAAAAUACAAAAUACAUCAUGGAAAAACUAGUGAUGGUUAAACAUGGAAUUUGUACAUACUCAACAAUUUCGUGGAAAGUUAAUUCAUGUUAAUUGAAGAAAAUACAUAUAUGUACGAGUUGUUGACAUUUCUAUAACUUGUACGACAUGAUAAUUAUAUCGUAGGAUUGGUCGGAUUUGCCAACGCGUAAGAUUUGAGGUUAUAAAGUUUUAAGAUUUGGUCGAUCAUUACAUCCUUCACAAGCAUAAGAUAAUCGAUCAGCUUCACAAUCACAAAACAAAUUAAGAUGUAUGUCAUAUAAUUAUCGAUUAAUUUGAUUCUUCGCCCUUUUUUUUUCUUUUUCUUUUUCGAAAGCGUGUCUAAUAAAUGAUGUCACCUGGUGGAGCUAGCUUGACAAUUUCUAUUUAUGAAGUCUUUUAAUGAAGCCCAAGAAAGUUAUGAAGCUAGGUUUACACACGACUGAAGAAAAAGAUGGCUACACUACACGCUUUAUUUGAAGCAAUUUCUACGACUCUCUCUCUAUCUCUCUCUCUCUAAAUUUUUGCCAUCUAAAAAAAAACUCCGCCUAAACUAUAGUAAAAAUCGGCCUUAGCGUUGGUACUAGAACAUUUUGUUUUCCCAUUCUAAAUUAGAAUUCACGUUUCCACAAACAAAAUAUUUAUUGUAUUUGUGUUGGUUCAUCUUAUUUAAUAAAUUUUCGAAUCAACAAAUGUUCCAAGGAUGGUUAAUUAUGUGCAUUAAUUAUGUCUAGGAUAUCAUACGGCCGGGAAGAAAAUAAAAGGGAUCGUAAUAAUUUCCACCUUUAUCAAAUUUUGAUUUUACAUAUGAAUUAAAAAUCAUGUCUUUGAAUACACGAACCUUUAAUUAUUUUAAAUUUUCGUACAUGUUGUCAAUUGUCUUCAAAUUAAUGCUGAUGUGGAUGCCCGAAACAUCAACAUUAAUGGCUCAAAUGAUCCAUCGAUCAAUUCAUUUAUUAAAUGAUAUAGUUGAAUGUCUAUGUCACUUCACGAUGACAAUUAUUUACCAUUUUAACUAACCACGAUGACAUUAAUUCGUCGAAAAUUGAUAAUCGUGUAAAAAAUCAGAACAAUUGAAAGUUCGUGUAUUUGGAGGCAAUUAGAUAGAAAUUGGUAUUACAAUAUGAACUCUAAUUAACAAUAUUUACUAAAAAAUGAAGCUUUAAAAAUUAUACACCCUACGGUUUGAUUAUGAAUAACAAAUUUGUUAAAAACAGGAAGAAUCGAGAAAGAAUAUUAGAAGAAUUUGAAUUGAACUAUAUUGAUUUAGAAAGAGAAUGGUGAAUUUCUAUUAAUUUGAAGAAAUGAAAUUAUGAAUAGCUUAUGAUAUUUGAAUGCAAGGUCUCGAUUUAUAGCCUAUACACUAAUUUAAUACUUAGGUCCAUUAACAAGGUACACUCGUUAGCAAAAACCCAAAUAAAAAAAAAAAAAAAACACCAGCUAGCCAAGCUUAAAAGGUACUUGGUCUAAAGGAAAAUAUAAAUAUAAUUCGAUAUGAUCUUCAUUUCAUGCAUAUUCUGUCUUUCAGAACUAACAUUGAUGAUCAAAUUUGAUAUGAACUUUCAAACUGCUAAAUGUCUUCCUCAGGUUUGCUUCUUCAGACCUGAUCUUUGCUAUUUUCUUGAUGUCUGACUUUUAUUAUUAAAUCUGGCUAUUUACUCAAUUUUGUCACGCUUUCGUCUCGAUGUUACUUUCAGCUUUGAGCUUCUGAUUUAGCCUAAAUCAUUUAUGUGAUAAUCCAUAGAUAUUUUAAUUAUUAGUUUCAGUCCCAAAAAGAAAAUGCAUCAAAUCGUCAACCUCACACCUAUUUAUGAAAUCAUUUUUUUAUAACUAAAAGUAAAUAUUAAAUGAUAUACUAUUCUAAUUGAAAACGACAAUCGUAAUUAAUAAUUAUAAAAUUGAGUAGUUAAUUAAACACAAGACAUAAAAAAUAACGAAAAUAAAUAAGCUUGACACAUAUGUUAGACAUCAAACGCUGGAAUAUAGGAUACUAAAUGGUGAUUAUUAUAAAUUGGUACGGCAGCAAGCUUUGAUUUCUUUUUCCACUCUGUUGCUAACGAUUUCAUGACCACUUUUUCAAGUUGGUUGGUUGACAAUAUAUUAAUAUAUACUCUCUCCUAUCCGUUUUUUUUUUGUCAUUUUAGUAUUCUCAAUUAUUUAUGUUUUAAUUAUCGUUUUGAAAAUUUAUCUCAAUCUUAACCUUAUUUAAUAUCUUGCAUUAAUCACAAGUAAAAUGACUCUUCCUAUUUCUUCUAGUUUUGGUGAUGGAUGAUCGGCUCUUUUUUCACCAAAUAAAUAUUGGAUUAAUUAAUACUCCACUAAAUAAGUGAUAUUUAAUGAGGUUAUGUUGGGUAUAAUAUUUUUUUAUUAAAAAAUGCGUGCUUGAGCUUAGGAUGACAAACAAAAAGGAUAGGAGGAAGUAGUACUAUAAUUUAUAUACAAUUAUUUAAUUAUACCUUUAUUCAUUGCUUCACAUAAUAUAUUUAGAAACAUUAAAUACUUCACCCGUCCACAAAAAUAGUGCUAACAAGAGGCGACACCUGUUUCAAUAAAAAUGAUUAUUGUAUUGUCAGUGGAGAAAUGAUUUCACUUAAAAGUAGUGUUUAUAAUGAUAAUUAAUUGUAUUGUGAGUGAGGAUUAUGACCCACCAUGUGAUAGAUAGUUUUUAAAAAUGGAAAGUGACUAAUUUUUAUGGACAUUUCAAAAUGAUAAAAAUAGACUGUUUUUUAUGAACAAGUGGAGUAAUUAUUUUAAUAAAAGAGAAAGACAACUCAAAGAUAUUUUGGGAUAUCUAAAAUGGAGUAGUUAAGUUUCGUGGGAGGAAGGAACAGUGUUAUAUAUGUAAUCAUAUUCCAGAUUAAUUUUGAUAGAGUUGAAAACAAAUUAAGUUGAUAGUUAAAUAAUUAAUUUCUGCAUGUGGCUUGCAUACCGGAGCGAUGAAGUAGUGUUAUAAUUACCACACAAAAAAAAGGAGUAGUGUUAGAUAUGUAAUUAAAUAUUCAGUCGUAUCAUAUUCCAGAUUGAUAUUGAUAGAGUUGAAAACAAAGUUGAUAAUUUAAUAAUUAAUCUCUAUACUCUACAUGUGGCUUGCAUAUCGGGGCAUGCCUUCUUUGACUUCAGACACGAAUGGACUUCUAGGCACCCCAUGUUUGACGUUUCUUACCUUUUCAUUGUCUGUUUCUAUAUUGUGCAUUAAUGGUCUUAUUAUAAUUGUAUCUUAUUUUGUAUUUUAUAAUGAAAACGAUCUAUUUUUUAUUUUUAUUUUUCAAAAAUCAGAAAAUUUUAUUGACGAAACGAGUACAAGAGAUACUCUAACCCUUAUACAAUGAUUCAACCUACAAAAUUACAUCAUUUAAGGAUAAAUAAGAUUACAUGGAAAAAAAACAUCAAUCAUGAAUUGAGUAAGUGAAAGAAGAAGAGAAAAAAGACCUAAUCCACCUCUAAGAACUAAUUUUGAAUUCUUCCACAAUCUCAUCCGCAUUGAAUGAAAGCUUUUCAAAAAUAACAACAAUAUUCCUAGCUUUCCAUAUGCUCAGACUCAGAGAAACACAUUGCCAAAUAAUGUUCAAAAUCUUCUUGAUAGUCCUUCCCUUUUGAAAACUAAUGUAAACAAAAAAUGGCUCCUAAGAGUAUUAUUACCCAUCAUUUGAAUCCCAAGUCAUUCAUAACACUUUCUCCAUAUUUUAUAAGAGAAAUUAAAGAAAUACAUAAGAUGAUAAAUAUCUUCCAAGGGAUAAGACCAUAAAAUACAGAUUUUUUCAUGUUCAUAAAAAACAGUCCUCAUUUUCACCAAAGUAUUCCUUGUUGGAGCUCUAUUACAAAGUGCCUUCCAAAGAAACAAAGAUACCUUAGUAGAGACAUCUUUGCACCAUAGUUUUGUCAACAUCAAACCGUCCUCACCUAUCACAAAAACCUCCUUCAAAAGAGCAUAGUUUCUGUCAAUAGAGCUUUUCCAAAUAAUGCAAUUUGACUCCAAUUUGUUCAUUUUGUACAUGCAAAGAAAAGACUCCAACACUACAAAUUCUUCCAUUUCAAUUUCAUUAACGACUCUUUCCCAUCUAAAAUUCCAAACCCUUACUUCUAAUUCUCAUCUCCUUCAAUUUGUAAUUUCAUUGUAGUGAAAUUUUAAAAAGGUUAGGAAAUUCAUCCCUCACCACAACUUUGUUCUCACCCCAAGGAUCCUUCCAAAAUCUGACUAGGUUUCUUUCCCCGAACGAAAAUAUCAAAUUGUCACACAAUAUCUUGUCCUCGAUUGUAUUCCAAACUUAUUCUAAUUUCUUCCACUAGUAGGAUUUUUUAUGUUCACAACAGCUAAUAGCCUCUAUAUUUGCUACAGUUCCAUAUCUAGUCUUGAGGAUUCUAAUAUUUAAAAGGAGUUUUUUCCCUUGCAUCCACCUCCAUACAAAAGGAAUAAGUUAAAAUACUCUAAUAUUUUUCACUCUUAAAGUCUUAAGCCCCCUUCACCUUUAGCCUUACACUACACACGAUCCCACUUAACCCAAAUUAUUAUCUUCUUUUCCUUCCCACAAAAAAUUUCUUCGAGUUAGAGAGAUUUUAAUUGAAACCGUAAAGACGAAAUUUUAAAGAAAACAUAAAGUAAUGAUCUUUUUCUUUUUACUUUUAAUUCGAGAGAUUAUGAUCUUAUAUGUCAUGCAUAUGUAUAACCGUUACUAAUAAAUGGCUAUUCUAAUAGGGCAUGCUACAAGUUGUCAACAACAAGAAAUUAUCCAGCUAUAAGCUCCAUUUGUUCAUGAUAAAAAAUUUAUAGAAGAGAGUGACGUGAGUUUUAAGGCGAAUUUGUUGAGUGUAUUGAGAAUGAUGAAAAAUAUUGUAAUAAAUGUUAUGUUGUUUUAAUUUGUAUUGAAAGUGCUGAAAAUGUAAAAGAAAUAAGGAUAAAUGAGAUAUUAUAAGUGAUGGGGUAUAACCGUAUAAUCCAAAAAUAGAAUAUGAAUUUAUUUAUUUUUGAACGUCUAAAGAGGAAAAAUAAGAAAUUUUUAUCAUAACCGGAGGAAGAGCAUAUACAAAAGACUACCUUAAAUGCAGAAAAUCGAUUCAAGUAAUAUUUAUUACAAAACGAAAAAUGCAUUAAUUUUAUCUUUCAUCGACCUUAUUUUAUCGUUGCUUGUUGCUACUGUGCAUCAGUGCAUGAUAUAAUCCGUAUAUAUAUAUAUGGGGCAAGAAUAAUCCGUAUAUAAAUAUAUUACAAUGUGUAAAAGAAUGCGAAAAAAGAGAAAUAAAACGGCCAAAAAACAAAAGACAAAAGGGGCUAAAUGUACAACACAAAACCAAAACUACUGCCCCUAAAACCAUGUAAAUCAAAAUGGAAAAACAAAGAUAAAACAGAGAGAAAUCAUCUGCAGGCGAUGUUCCUCAGACUCUGCGUGGCCGUGACGAUUUCCAUGGUGCAAUUCAUAUUGGUAGAUUUGUUCUUCUUCAUGAUGAAGAUGAGUUCCACUCUCCCUCUCAUCUGCGCCGAGCUCGUGAUCGGCACUACUCCCGCGCUCAAAUCGGCGGCCAGCUGAGGGUGGUUGCUGAGAUUCAAUUGGACGGCGGAGUGAAUGAACUUCUUGGUGGAUCUCCAACCGGUUUUAGAAUUGGGGACGAAAACCUGGGCGACUCUGGUUCCUCUGUAGAAGAAAUCGACGGUGGUGUUGCGGUAUUUGUAGCGGCCGAAGUUGGUGUUCUUCACCGUGAAUUCAGGGGUCAUGGUGGCCUGCAGAGAGUCAGUGGCGGCGUUGAAGGAGGUGAAGGUGGCUUGGCGGAUACGGAAUUUGGGAGUUUUCACUUUCAUAACGGUUAGGGCGAAGACAGUGAUGAUUGCGGUUUGGAAGACGAUGAAGAGGAGGAUGUAGAGGAUGCAUUUGGUGCGCUUCUUCUUGCGCUGCUCUCUGACGUUGUGAGCCGCCGCGGCCUCCGUGUCGCCGCUCCGUAUGUAGCCGUUGGCCGGAUAUGCUGAUUGCUGCUUCUCACCCAUUUGAUUUUAGUGUAAAGAUAUAUAACUGUUUGAUAUAAUUUCUUUUGCUUUUAUUUGUUUCUCUAUGAGGAAGAAAGAGGAAGUGUUGAUGAUGCUGAAGGAGGUAGUUAGUACUUGAUUAUAUAUAGACCUCGAGCGAGAUUAAAUGGCAGUGGAAAGAGUGUUGAGGAAUUUCAGCGACUAUUU
rnacentral:lncRNA from 1 species